rnacentral:lncRNA from 1 species
AAAUCCAAAUUUUUGGCCAAAUAAUUUGUUUUAUUUCUAAUUUUUUAAUUUUUGGCCAAAUUACCCAUUUUAUUGUUACAUUUCUUAGCCCAACAAAGAUCCAACCCACUAAAUAACCCUAAAUACCUACGCUAAAGUGCAUAACGCUGUCUCGACUCUCACACUCACUCUCGCAGCCUCACUGACAUUCUAAAACUUAUACAAUCGCCGACCGACACUGUGACCUCCAAUCGAAGUUGAAGCUGUGAUCUUCGUUGAUCGAAGCAUUGACCGUAGCGAUCAUUUGAACAAGGUCCAAAUUUUUGGCCCAAUAAUUUGUUUUAUUUCUAAUUUUUUAAUUUUUGGCCAAAUUACCCAUUUUAUUGUUACAUUUCUUAGCCCAACAAAGAUCCAACCCACUAAAUAACCCUCAAUACCUACGCUAAAGUGCAUAACGCUGUCUCGACUCUCACACUCACUCUCGCAGCCUCACUGACAUUCUAAAACUUAUACAAUCGC